CCUACGGGAGGCAGCAGUGAGGAAUAUUGGUCAAUGGACGAGAGUCUGAACCAGCCAAGUAGCGUGAAGGAUGACUGCCCUAUGGGUUGUAAACUUCUUUUAUAUGGGAAUAAAAUGUUCCACGUGUGGGAUUUUGUAUGUACCAUAUGAAUAAGGAUCGGCUAACUCCGUGCCAGCAGCCGCGGUAAUACGGAGGAUCCGAGCGUUAUCCGGAUUUAUUGGGUUUAAAGGGAGCGUAGGUGGAUUGUUAAGUCAGUUGUGAAAGUUUGCGGCUCAACCGUAAAAUUGCAGUUGAAACUGGCAGUCUUGAGUACAGUAGAGGUGGGCGGAAUUCGUAGUGUAGCGGUGAAAUGCUUAGAUAUCACGAAGAACUCCGAUUGCGAAGGCAGUUCACUGGACUGCAACUGACACUGAGGCUCGAAAGUGUGGGUAUCAAACAGGAUUAGAUACCCGAGUAGUC
rnacentral:rRNA from 1 species